CGAGGAAUAUUGCACAAUGGACGCAAGUCUGAUGCAGUAACGCCGCGUGAGGGAAGAAGACCUUCGGGUUGUAAACCUCUUUUAUGGAGGACGAGUGAGGACGGUACUCUAGGAAUAAGUCUCGGCUAACUACGUGCCAGCAGCCGCGGUAAGACGUAGGAGGCGAGCGUUAUCCGGAUUCACUGGGCGUAAAGCGCAUGUAGGCGGUUCUGUAAGUCCGCGGUUAAAGCCCCCGGCUCAACUGGGGGAG
rnacentral:rRNA from 1 species